UUUCUUUGUUUGUUUGUUUGUUUGUUUGUUUUCUUGCUUGCUUGUUUUUAACUGUGCUGAAAUACUGUUUAAUUGCUUGAGAAAUGAAAAUUUCUCCUGGAUUUUUUUUUUUUUUUUUUUUGCCUAUGCAAGAUCAUGUCAGUAUAUUUAUCAAAAUCUCCUGAGUUUCAAAGCUAUUCAUGGCACAUAGAUGGAAAGACAGAGACAGACCAAAAAAAAAAAAAAAAACAAAAAAAACUUUAGUAAACCACAUUGAAACUGUGGCAGGUUGGAACCAGAUGAUCUUUAAGGUCUCUUCGAAACCAAACCAUGAUUCUACGUUUCUCUGAAAGUAUCUCUGAGGGAUCCCUCUGUUCACACUAAGGAACAUUUGCAGGUAAGAAUCCAGCCCCUCCUUAUCUACCCGGCUGAAGCAAGUCUAUGCCGUUACAGGAUUCCUGCAACUGCACUAACCACUUUGAAGCUGCAGCUCCCCAAAGCACUUGGCAUCAACAAAUGAAAACAGCUACAGCCUGCUGAAAACAGCAUGUUCGGUUUUGCAUUCAGUAUGUAAACUGCUGGGGUGGCUGUCUGAACACGUGGACAUCUCAACUGUAGUGAGAUGAAUCCCACCCACAAACCUGGCUGCAUACAGAAUCAGGUACAGACUCCAUGAAAUAGCUAUGUCAUAUAAUGGGAGAGCACUAGCUCCAGCUGGUACUAAUGUUCCCUGAGCUUCCCUGGGAAAUCUCUCCCAAUAUUUCUGCGUCCAAUAUGGUGAACACAUACCAAGAGAAGAUCUGACCUCUUGCAGUUUAUUUCCUCCUCUACAAGGUUUUCCAGGUGGCUGAGCCCAAAGCAAAUAUUUAUAGACCAAAAUAUUUCUCUUCUCCAUGGGAGGGAAACAGUAAAAGUGUAGAUCGCAAUUUGGUUUUGCAGAGAACUGGAAAUAAUGACAAAAUGGUCAUUAAAACUAAGCCUCUUUUUUUUUCUUUCUUUCUUUGCAGAUGCAAAUAAACUUUCCAAGGACAAAUCUGAACCCAUAAGUUUCUUUCUCAUAAGAUGGUUAGCAGGUAUGAGUUAUGGCAGGGAGAAACAGUGAAAGAUGCAUGCAGCACGGAGUGGUUAAUCAGCUGUUCAAGAUAGAUGGAGAAGUGUCAGAGAGGAGAAAGAAGCAGACAUAUCUUGGCAUCCAUGGUGAUAAAAAUGCACUUUUCUAGAGACCAGAGGAGACUGAAAUAUUUACUGUAACUCAGAAAGCAAGUACCAACUGGUUAAGGUAGGCUUUUUUACACCCCUUUUUAUAUUUAUUCUUUUGAGCUAAUCAUUUUGAUCUUUGUAUGAAAGGUUAAGUAAAUAUACCGCAAUCAAACUAAUAUUGUAUGUUUAAAAAAUAAUUUUGUCUUCAUUGGGAGGCCUACUAUAAGGAAAACCUGUUCAGAUGAGGCUAUCUUAGAGACUUGGCUGACUUGGUUGCCACUACAAUCUUCACAAUGACUCUCAUGCUGACUUAACACUCAGACCAGGUGACUGAAUGGUAAUAAAGUGCCCAACUUUGGUCA
rnacentral:lncRNA from 1 species